rnacentral:tRNA from 1 species
AUCUUUCUAGUAUCCAACAAGUAUAAGUGACUUCCAAUCACCAGGUCUUGGUUAAAACCCAAGGAAAGAUA